GCAGUGAUGGUUCAGUGGUAGAAUUCUCACCUUCCACAGAUGGGAGACUCGGGUUCGAUUCCUGGCCAAUGCA
rnacentral:tRNA from 1 species